rnacentral:rRNA from 1 species
CCUACGGGUGACUGCAGUGAGGAAUAUUGGUCAAUGGACGAGAGUCUGAACCAGCCAAGUAGCGUGAAGGAUGACUGCCCUAUGGGUUGUAAACUUCUUUUAUAUGGGAAUAAAAUGUUCCACGUGUGGGAUUUUGUAUGUACCAUAUGAAUAAGGAUCGGCUAACUCCGUGCCAGCAGCCGCGGUAAUACGGAGGAUCCGAGCGUUAUCCGGAUUUAUUGGGUUUAAAGGGAGCGUAGGUAGAUUGUUAAGUCAGUUGUGAAAGUUUGCGGCUCAACCGUAAAAUUGCAGUUGAAACUGGCAGUCUUGAGUACAGUAGAGGUGGGCGGAAUUCGUGGUGUAGCGGUGAAAUGCUUAGAUAUCACGAAGAACUCCGAUUGCGAAGGCAGUUCACUGGACUGCAACUGACACUGAGGCUCGAAAGUGUGGGUAUCAAACAGGAUUAGAUACCCGAGUAGUC